UCCCUGGAGGACUAGUGGUUAGGCCACAUCGCUUUCACUGCUGCAGCCUGGGUUCGAUUCCUGGCCAGGGAA
rnacentral:tRNA from 1 species